GGAUGAUCUGAGUACUGUGGUGUUUACAGUGUAAUUGGUCACAACCAGUUACAGGUUUCUUUGUUCCUUCUCUACUCCCACUGCUUCAUUUGAUUAGUCUUUU
ensembl:misc_RNA Y_RNA Y RNA